UUUCAUGUGCGCAUGGCAUAGACGUUUUCCCUCUCCGCUCCUUCUUGCUGUUGGCCAUACUGCCUAUUGAGAGAUUUCAAAUUGGAAGAUGUUAUCAUCCCUGAUAAAGGAAAGUCUAUGAAACUUCUCCCACCACCAUGCUCACCAAGAAAAGUCUUCCUAGGGGAAAAAAACCCCACAAAACAACAAAGAGAAGAAACAUCAAAUACUGCUGCAGGAAAGAAACUUGAAUUGAAUGAGUGUAGUAAACACUCCAAAUUGUCAUCUUACUACCAAGCACGGACAGACCAGGUGAGACGAA
rnacentral:lncRNA from 1 species